rnacentral:rRNA from 1 species
UACGAGGGGGCUAGCGUUGCUCGGAAUUACUGGGCGUAAAGCGCACGUAGGCGGUCUUUUAAGUCGGGGGUGAAAUCCUGGAGCUCAACUCCAGAACUGCCUUCGAUACUGGAAGACUUGAGUCCGGGAGAGGUGAGUGGAACUGCGAGUGUAGAGGUGAAAUUCGUAGAUAUUCGCAAGAACACCAGUGGCGAAGGCGGCUCACUGGCCCGGUACUGACGCUGAGACGCGAAAGCGUGGGGAAG